ensembl:lncRNA
UAUGAUGUCUGUAGUGCUGACACAGGAGUGCACAAAAGGGAUGGCUUCCUAGUAGUUUGACUAAACCAGAAGGUACAAAAAUCUACCCUGCAAAACAAGUUCUAUGGAAAGCGGAGAGAUUAUAGUGGAAUUCUAUUUAGCCCUAUAAAUUCUUGUUGGUAGUAUGAUAAAAAGAUAUUAAGACACCAUGAAACACGUGAAACUAUUGCUAAAUGCACUAUCUCUUCUUUCCUGUUAGUACCGUGCAGGCCAGGUAUGCACUGAAUUCUUCAAAAUUGUCCAUGGAAUUUUGUGCUAGAGAAUGGUACUCAGUUUAAAUCUGAAGAAAAAGAAAAUGGUGGGGGGGAUCAACAGUACUUACUGAAAGCAAAAGAAUUAGCGUCACUAGCAUGAGAUUCCUUGUGUUCUAUAUUUGAUAUCAGUUCUUAAAAUCUCGAGUUCGUCCUGGAGUUGUGACUGCAUUUUCAAUCUGCAUGUCAGGGGUGUCAGAAGUCAUGGGCCAGCCAAGGCCAGAAAGUCCUGUCCAAGUUUGUGAAGAGUCUGGAGUAUCACUUGAACACCUCCCAUGUUCAUUCUUAAAAACUGAAAAAGGAGCAGUGUUUGAAAGCAGUCCUGACAUGCCAGAGAUUAUGUGAGUGCGAGAUGCAAAACCUGCGCAGUCUUUAGGGGUUUAAAAAAAAAAUCAAGAGGAUUUUUCCAAAAUAGGGUGUGGAAGAAGGGUUGUUUCUUCAGGAACGUGUCUAUUCCUAGGGCAUGUUCCUACAGUGUGUGUAUCACGGAAUUGAAAGCUCAUCUUUAAGCAGUUUUCCCUGUUUUCUCUGCUGUGGUACAAAGUACUGUUAAAAUAUUGUACCACCAAUGAAGUAGAUGUGCAUUGGAAACCUGGUAAAAGAGGAAAGGGGUUUUAUUUAAAAAUACAGAGUGAAACAAAAAAAUAAGAUGGAGUGUGUGUGGUGCCUGAGAUGUCUUUACAGCAGCCAAGCACCAUAGCAGCAUGCUGUGGAUCCAGCAGACUAGCAGUCUUUGUUGACAGGGGACAAAAGCUGACAGGUCCUUACUGUCUCCUGGCCUCUUCCUAGGCUGGCAACCAUUCUAGGCUUCAGAUGUGCCUUUGUGUACUCUUUUGGAGGAGACAUUGCCCUGUGUCCCUUCUUUGUCCUGACAGUGAGUUAUCAAUGUUGUCUCCAGAUGUGGGUGCCUUCUGAAGUGGCAGGGGUAUGUGACCUGCAAACCUGGGGGCUGCUAACAUAAGCCCCUUAGAGCCCAGUUCCUGCUCAGUGUUAGUUUGGUGCCUCCACACUCAGGCGCUCCUGUUCUUUCUCCAGUCAUACCAGUCUUAGACUUUCUUUUACAAGGUCUCACCUUUGCCUUGUAGCUUGGAUUUAGAUGGUUAGUUCAAAGUUGCCUAGAAAGCAAAAAGAGCAUGAAAGCAGCUGGUUUUUUUUUGCGGGACUGUAAGCUACUUUCUUUUGUAUUUGUGUUUGUAAUUUAGGUGCUUGUCAUUGUCCACUUUCCAGGUUAAAUUUGGCAGUUUUUAAGCCAUAGGGAAAACCAUAAUGGACUUGUGUAGGGCUAGUUUUGCUUUCCGUAUCUCCAUAGGUCUCCACUAUACUUCCAAUUUUUUG